GACGAACGCUGGCGGCGUGCUUAACACAUGCAAGUCGAACGGAAAGGCCCUGCUUUUGUGGGGUGCUCGAGUGGCGAACGGGUGAGUAACACGUGAGUAACCUGCCCUUGACUUUGGGAUAACUUCAGGAAACUGGGGCUAAUACCGGAUAGGAGCUCCUGCUGCAUGGUGGGGGUUGGAAAGUUUCGGCGGUUGGGGAUGGACUCGCGGCUUAGCAGCUUGUUGGUGGGGUAGUGGCUUACCAAGGCUUUGACGGGUAGCCGGCCUGAGAGGGUGACCGGCCACAUUGGGACUGAGAUACGGCCCAGACUCCUACGGGAGGCAGCAGUGGGGAAUAUUGCACAAUGGGCGGAAGCCUGAUGCAGCAACGCCGCGUGCGGGAUGACGGCCUUCGGGUUGUAAACCGCUUUCGCCUGUGACGAAGCGUGAGUGACGGUAAUGGGUAUAGAAGCACCGGCUAACUACGUG
rnacentral:rRNA from 1 species